rfam:Ornithorhynchus anatinus chromosome 5, whole genome shotgun sequence.
CAUCUCUCAGGGUCGCAUCUAGAGAGUUUCCAAUACUCUCUACCAGUCUCGACUACGGGAGGGAGAGUCAAGCAGAGGUAUAUCCAUUCCAUUCCUAGCUUGGGCAGUGGCUAGUGAGUGGAAGGCCAUCUGCUACAAGU